rnacentral:lncRNA from 1 species
CUUUUCUUAUGUAUAUAUAUAUAUAUUAGGACAAAAUGUGCUAUAUAUAUAGCAUAUUUUCACAUUUUGUAUUAAUAAGGACCCGGAAGAAUUCUAGUGCCUAGGGCCUCGUAUGUAAUUAAUCUGGCACUGUCUUCAUCCAUCAGAUGACUGGUUGGAAAAAGUUCGUCAGUUCGUUAUUUGAAAUUAUUUUUCAUUCAAUUCAUGGAAACUCAUUGUCAUCUCAAUCAAAUAUCAUUAAGCACUUAUGCAUUCAAAUUCAGAUGAAAUUUCCUGAACUAUACGAGCAAGUGAUUAAAAAGUAUGCACGAAUUAGAACUUUCAUCAGAUUAAGACAUUUGAAUAAUGAAUCAGUUAUUCAGAGACAAAAAACAAAUGCAGCAAAAAAAUUGAAGCUUUGGAAAGC